GGGGAUGCCGCCAUUAAGCUCUUCGGUCACACCAUCCCGCUCCUCGACACCACGGCCGAGGUUAUCACCAAGCUUGGAAAUGAUGCAAACAGCAAUGAUGUCAUGCCUUGUGUCUCAAACAAUCUUUUGAAUGUCGAAGCAACUCCUUUCUAUUCCAAGAAUAGAGAGCAGAAUGAUCAAGCUAUCAGCAAACAUGGGGUGGAAGUGAGAACUGGUUUCAAAUUUGAGGAGAUUAAAUCUGGGUUUGAUGGAUCUGACCAAGACAAGGUUCUCAAGAAGCCUGAUAUAAUCGUGCCAUGCCCUCGUUGCAAUAGCAUGGAAACAAAGUUCUGCUACUUCAACAAUUACAAUGUUAGCUAGCCUAGGCACUUCUGCAGGAAUUGCCAGAGGUAUUGGACCGCUGGUGGAAAUAUUAGAAAUGUCCCUGUAGGUUCUGGAAGACGCAGAAAUAAGCAUGCCUCUCACUUCCGCCAUGCUACGAUGUCGUGUGAUGCUAAUAUAGCUAGUCCCGGAGAUGUUUCCAAUGAGAUUCACCAUCUAGCUCUUCCACUUUUACCUCAGGUUCUUCCAGGGCCAAUUAAAGAAAAUGAAACAGUAAAGGAGUUUGGAUCUGAAGUGCCAGUUUGUAAGCCUAUGUCUUCAAUCCAUAAUAUUGAAGAACAGAAGGGUACUCACCUUGUUUCCUUGGCAUCUGGUGAUAAUAGAGAAGAACAAUCAUGUCCAUCUCCAGCGACAGUGUCAGGUUGCUCAGAAAAUCAGACGCCGGAUAGCGCAGUUAAAAAAGAGCCAAGCAAUGUGUUAGGGUACUAUAAUGGCAUCACAUUGCCUCACCCUCACGGACCUGCUUUGGUGUUUCCCUGGAGUCCUGGAUGGAACAGUAUUGCUGUGAUGGCAGCUGCUCAGUGCUCAACAGAGUCCAUUCAAGGGUUGGGUCUGCCACCGUGGGCGCCUCCAUUGAUGAUGGCAGCUCCAGGAAUUUGCACACCUGUUGUUCCCUUUCCUAUGAUGCCACCACCACUUUGGAGCUGCAUUCCUGGUUGGCCUAAUGGACUUUGGAGUUCACCAUGUCCUGGAAGUAAUGGCCCUCCAAACAAAAUCACAUGCUCAGAGGACAAUUCUCCUACACUUGGAAAGCAUUCAAGAGAAGCAGACCUGCAAGAAGAGAAUAGGGAAAACAACGUACAGGUCCCUAAAACUCUUAGAAUUGAUGACCCAGCUAAGGCCACAAAGAGUUCGGUCCGGGAUACUCUAGGCAUCAAACCUGAUGAGAAAGGCAUGGACAAGACACCAGACUCUACACAGGCUCUGCAGGCCAAUCCAGCGGCCUUUUCGCGCUCUCAGUCAUUUCAGGAGAGGACUUGA
rnacentral:rRNA from 1 species